UGGGGAAUUGUUCACAAUGGGCGCAAGCCUGAUGACGCAACGCCGCGUGGGGGAUGAAGGUCUUCGGAUCGUAAACCCCUGUCGAAUGGGACGAAAGACCCGGGAGCUAAUCAUCCUGGGAGUGACGGUACCGUUAAAGGAAGCCACGGCUAACUCUGUGCCAGCAGCCGCGGUAAUACAGAGGUGGCAAGCGUUGUUCGGAAUUACUGGGCGUAAAGGGCGCGUAGGCGGCCAUCUAAGUCAGACGUGAAAUCCCCCGGCUUAACCUGGGAACUGCGUCUGAUACUGGACGGCUCGAGUUUGGGAGAGGGAUGUAGAAUUCCAGGUGUAGCGGUGAAAUGCGUAGAUAUCUGGAGGAAUACCGGUGGCGAAGGCGGCAUCCUGGACCAACACUGACGCUGAGGCGCGAAAGCUAGGGGAGCAAACGGG
rnacentral:rRNA from 1 species